rnacentral:rRNA from 1 species
UACAGAGGUCUCAAGCGUUGUUCGGAAUCAUUGGGCGUAAAGCGCGUGUAGGCGGCCCGGUAAGUCCGCUGUGAAAGUCCAGGGCUCAACCCUGGGAUGCCGGUGGAUACUGUCGGGCUCGAGUCCGGAAGAGGCGAGUGGAAUUCCUGGUGUAGCGGUGAAAUGCGCAGAUAUCAGGAGGAACACCAAUGGCGAAGGCAGCUCGCUGGGACGUGACUGACGCUGAGACGCGAAAGCGUGGGGAGCAAACAGG